rnacentral:rRNA from 1 species
UACAGAGGGGGCAAGCGUUAUUCGGAAUUAUUGGGCGUAAAGGGCGCGUAGGCGGCUUGGCAAGUGGAUGGUGAAAUCCCUCGGCUUAACCGAGGAACUGCCGUCCAAACUGCUUUGCUUGAGACCGGGAGAGGUGAGUGGAAUUCCCAGUGUAGCGGUGAAAUGCGUAGAUAUUGGGAGGAACACCAGUGGCGAAGGCGGCUCACUGGACCGGUACUGACGCUGAGGCGCGAAAGCGUGGGGAGCAAACGGGG